UUUAGCGUCAUAUCGCCGCAACGUCGUAGCGUCAAUGAAAACUGAUUGACGUUAACGUCUGGCGUCAAAACGGAAUAACCUUUCAUCAAGUUGUUCUUAAAAGUAAUAACGUGUCUAAGUUAACAGAUCUUAAUUUCAUUAAAAAAAUGUUAUGUAAUCAACGAUACUACGAAUGGCAAAGAGAAUGCUUAAAAAUAAUAAAUUUAAAAAGACGAUUAAAGAAAAAGAAACGUCAAAUGAUUUGUAUAGCAGUGAUUCAUGAAUUGGAAAAAAUGGAGAAAAGACAAUAUACCAAAAAACGUUAUUGGGUUGCACCAUUAUUUAAAAAUAGAAAAAUGCAUGGUUUUUACCAUGCAAUAUUUCCUAAUAUUAUUUUGGAAGACAGCACAUUUAGAAAUUAUUUUAGAAUGACUGCUAUACAGUUAGAAGAAUUGCUACAAAUAGUAGGACCUUCUUUGAGUAAACAGAUAACUUCCUUUCGUGAGCCAAUAUCCGCUCCUGAACGUUUGUGUUUAACAUUAAGAUAUUUAGCUGCUGGUGAUUCUAUGAAAUCAAUAUCAUAUCAAUUCAUAUCAUACCAAUCUAAUUGGUGUAACAACGGUUUCUAACAUUAUUAGCGAUACAUGUAAUGUCAUUUGGAAUUGUAUUCACGAGGAAGUCCUUCCAUCUACUUUGAGUCAAGGAGAUUGGUUACGCAUAGCAGAUGAAUUUGAGGAAAAAUGGAACUUCCCUCAUUGCAUAGCUGUUUAGAGAUUUUGCGCCGGGCGCCGCGGGUGUAGUUCGGAAAGUGCGAAGUGCGAGGUUCGUUCACGGGUGAUAUAGGUGAUUAUUAGCGACAAGUGCAAUAAACAUCAAUCAAGUAAUUUUAUUUUAAGUGCGCAACGAAGCAAGGAACACGUAUGUAAAAUGGCAUUAUUACAUUUCCAGCAGAAUAUGGUUGUUUAAUAAUUACAAUUUAAUUUAACUUAACCUAACCUAAAUUGAAACUUAUAUUGUUUUAGUGAGAAAUAAGAUCCAUCGAGCUGAGUUUUUACUUUAUUCUUUCGACCGGCGUAAUCGAAAAAUUAUCGCCAAUAUCUUUUUGGAAUCCGUAGUAUCUAAAAAAUGGAUAAGUACCAAUUUAUCAUUGCGGAAUUUCAUGACGGGUUACAAGUUAUACCGUCAGAAUGCAACGCCGAUAAAUUAUCAUGUAUAUGGCCUAAUCAUAUGAAAACUAAAUAUCGCAUUAACAAGGCCAUAUUGGCAAGAGAGAUGCCUCGAGAAAAAUCUGAUUGAGAAGAGUUACCAAUAAAAAGAAUUUUUGGUGGAGCAAAUACUUAUGAAGAAAGUUUACAAAAAUUAAGUCUAGCGCAAGACACGUCAAAUAUAGAUGACACUGGGAUGUCUUCAAAUGAUUUAAGGGAACAAAAUAAAAAGCAAAGACGUAUAAAAGCAAAGAAAAAAAUAUUAUCAUCUUCUUCUUCAGAAGAAGAUAUCUAUUUAAAAAAUAAAGAAAAUAAAAUAAAUAUAAUACAACAUAAAAUCUUGCCUCCUUUUCCUGACAGAGGCAAUUUUGUUAAUAAAGUAAUUGAGCCUAUACAAAACAUUACAAAUAUUUUACGUGAAAAAAAUAUUAUUAUUCCUACAAACAGUAAUGAUAGAAAUAACAAGCAAAUUGCUACGAAUAAUAUAAAGAUUCUUCAAGAUUCUUCUGAAAAUACUGAGAAAGAUUUGUCUGCUUAUGAGUUCAAGAAACAGAUUAUAGGAAAAUUGAACAAAAUAUUAUAUAAAUUAGACGGUAUAGAAAUCAAAAUUAAUAUGCUAGAGGAGAAAAUGCAAUUUUCCUGUCAUUCUUAUGAUGGUCAAGAUGAAUGUGAUAUUCAUUUCCCGAUUUCUACACUUACUGAAUUAAUAUCCUUUGAAGAUCAAUUACAGGAAAUCGAAUUUAAAGAUAAAGUUGAAUUCUCACAGCAUAGUACUUCUGGCAAUAUGUGAUGCAAAUUAUAUGUUUACUUUUGUGGACAUUGGAGCAUAUGGUCGACGUAGUGAUGGUGGCAUUUUUCGAUCUUCUUUAAUAGGACAACAAUUUCAUAAUGAGGAAAUGAAUUUACCAGAACCACAAGCUAUAUUAGCUGAUGAAAUACCUCUACCAUUCGUAAUUGUGGGUGAUGAAGCUUUUCCGUUAUCAGAAUAUUUACUUCGAUCGUAUCCUGGAAGAGGAGGUUUAAGUCAAGAACGAAAAAUUUACAACUAUCGGCUGAGUAGAGCAAGAAGAAUGAUCGAAAGUUCUUUUGGAAUUUUAUGUAGCCAAUGGCGGAUAUUAAGGCGUCCCAUUGACACUACAGUUGAUACAUGUAUGAAAAUUGUUCAGGCCAUUAUCUGUUUACACAAUUGGCUGCGAAUUAAAGAUAUUGAUCAUAACGAAUAUAUACCAUCCAAUCUAAUUGAUCAAGACAAUUCAUACAGUUUUAUAUCUGAUACUUUGAGCUCAGAUAUAACUGAUGAAGGUGCUUUGCGAAAUAUAACUCAAUGUGGUUCUAAUUUAGGUUCACGUAAAGCCAUGAUGAUAAGAGAUACAUUUUGUCACUAUUUUAAUAGCGAAGGAGCAGUUCCCUGGCAAUUCGAGCACUGUUAAAAUAUUAAUAAUAAAAAAA